rnacentral:rRNA from 1 species
UACAGAGGGUGCAAGCGUUGUUCGGAAUUACUGGGCGUAAAGCGUGCGUAGUCGGUAUUGAGAGUCGCGGGUGAAAUCCCAGGGCUUAACCCUGGAACUGCCUGCGAGACCUCAGUACUAGAGUGUGAGAGGGGAUAGUGGAAUACCCAGUGUAGCGGUGAAAUGCGUAGAGAUUGGGUGGAACACCGGUGGCGAAGGCGGCUAUCUGGCUCACAACUGACACUGAGGUGCGAAAGCGUGGGGAGCAAACAGG